UAGGGUUGAAUAUAGAAAUCUGUGGUUAGCAUUCAGGUGGAUAUCUGCUAUGUAAAAAAGGCUGUAAAAGGGACCCAAUUUUAAAACAAUGGACCCGAUCCCAAACCGAAAUUGGAACAAAAAAAUCUUCACCUUUUUUUAACCAGGUUUUCCGAAGGAAAAAACUGGUUAUUAGAUUGGCGAAUGCGGGCGGGCUGGCUGGCUGGCUGGCGGGCUGGCUGGCUGGCGGGCUGGCGGGCUGGCGGAAUAAGCUUGUCCGGGCCAUAACUAUGUCGUUCAUUGUCAGAUUUUAAAAUCAUUUGGCACAUUUGUUCACCAUCAUUGGACGGUGUGUCGCGCGAAAUAAUUACGUCGAUAUCUCCAAGGUCAAGGUCACACUUUGAGUUCAAAGGUCAAAAAUGGCCAUAAAUGAGCUUGUCCUGGCCAUAACUAUGUCAUUCAUUGUGAGAUUUUAAAAUCAUUUGGCACAUUUGUUCACCAUCAUGGGACGGUGUGUCCCACGAAAGAAUCACGUCAAUAUCUCCAAUGUCAAGGUCGCCACGACUAAAAUAGAUUUAAAAAAAAAAAAAAACUUACAAAGGGGGUUAAUUUUUUUUGGUCAUUUCAAAAGUUCAGUUUGAGU